GAUGAACGCUGGCGGCGUGCCUAAUACAUGCAAGUCGAGCGAACGGACGAGAAGCUUGCUUCUCUGAUGUUAGCGGCGGACGGGUGAGUAACACGUGGAUAACCUACCUAUAAGACUGGGAUAACUUCGGGAAACCGGAGCUAAUACCGGAUAAUAUUUUGAACCGCAUGGUUCAAAAGUGAAAGACGGUCUUGCUGUCACUUAUAGAUGGAUCCGCGCUGCAUUAGCUAGUUGGUAAGGUAACGGCUUACCAAGGCAACGAUGCAUAGCCGACCUGAGAGGGUGAUCGGCCACACUGGAACUGAGACACGGUCCAGACUCCUACGGGAGGCAGCAGUAGGGAAUCUUCCGCAAUGGGCGAAAGCCUGACGGAGCAACGCCGCGUGAGUGACGAAGGUCUUCGGAUCGUAAAACUCUGUUAUUAGGGAAGAACAUAUGUGUAAGUAACUGUGCACAUCUUGGCGGUACCUAAUCAGAAAGCCACGGCUAACUACGUG
rnacentral:rRNA from 1 species